CUGCCCCUCCCUGUUUGUACUCUGUCUCUCUCUGUCUCAAAAAGAAAUAAACAUUAAAAAAAAUUAUAACACUUCAAAAAAUCUAUGAAGCAAUGUAUAGUCAUCUUCUUCCAGAAAGCUUUAGAAAUAGCAUAUAUUUCCCCCUGUAAUCUAAUAUUAUAAUAAUUAUUUUGUUUAGCAUUAAUGUGGCAUUUAUAUCAAAUAACUUGGUUUUAGGCUUAACUAAGCCACAGACCCCUAAAUUUUUUUUAGCAGAAAGCAUUUUUUUCUCCUUUCUCAGUAUUUAUGUUUUAAUAAAGCUAAAAUAUAGUCAGUAUUAAUGUAAAUAUAUAAAAUCUAUAUACCUCACUUUAGAAAUUUUUUGAAACCAUGAAAUCAGAAAUUAAUGAACAUCAAUAUUAAUUAGGUCUGAAGAAAUUAUGAUAUACGGCUUUAUUGCUAUAUAGUAAAAGAAGCUUUCUAUAUAUUAUAUUUGAUUCUCAUAGCCCCCUUAUGAAGGUAGGUUAGACAAUAGACAACUUUUAUUAUUUCUGUUUUAUAGGUGGAAAAACUGAGGUUUGGAGUUUAACUGGCCUAAAUUUUAUGACCUUAAUAAUUUACCUCUAUAGUUACCUUUUUUUUUUUUUUUUUUUUUUGCAUGUCACUUGGUCAGUCAUGGUAGUAUUUAUUAUCUUGUUUCUUCCAGGGAAUGCAGAACUCUUGAUGAUCUUUAUUCUUGAAAAUUUAAGAGGAAUAAUCUGUCAUUUGGCAUGAUCCCAAAGGUAGCACAAAUGGAAGGAAUGACCAAUAUGAGUGCCUGGUGAAACACUUAUUAUCUCUUCUUGGCCGCACAUACCAGAAAAACAAUCACUAGAGAAUACUUGAGCAAGCAACAUUUUAUAGAAUUGUUUGGUGGGCAUCAGGAAGAUGGUAGGUCAAGGGACCAUGCUGCUGGUUGGAGUCUGUCUCGCUGAAGUCUUGAAAAACCAGUGAAGACCUAAAAUAAUAGGAUGUAUUCUGAUUAAAUAAGCCAAAAACUCUAACUUUGUUUCAUCAACUCUGGGAAGACUGUACAAAAUCUUAUAGACCAGUGACACCUUAUACAGUUCUGAAAAAAAGCAUUGUAAGGUUCAGAUAAAACUUUUGUGUGCAAAUUUUAGGAGUUGGUGUGGUCUAGGAGCUUGUGAAGAUGAAGUGUUUCACGUUCUGAUUUCAUGAAAUGUUCCAUAUUUCUUUUAAUCUUAAUGUAGGAUGAUGGGAUAUGCACACUUCUUAUUUAACAGUGAUUACUGUAUGUAAUAACUAACUCAUCUGCUUACCAUAAACAUGGGACAGUGGUUACAAUAAAGAUAUUGAGUAGA